AGUGAUGGUUCUGCGCAAGGGUGCCAGGAGGCCUGAAACCACCAAGGAAGACCAGCCUGGGUCCUCCAAAGCCACACAAGAGCCAUCGCCGGAGAAGUGCUUCCUGUGCCAGGGCCAGUUUCCUGUGAAGGAGUAUCGGAGCCAUGUGGAUGCCUGCCUUCGCCUGAAGUCCCACCCCACUCAGGGAGCGAAGAGUCUGCUGACGGCCUUGGAGCGGUCGGAGUAGAAGGAG